GUGGGGGGAGAGAGGAGAGGCUGAGCGACCUGCGGGGCGGGCGGCGGGCGGGUGGGCGCUGGUCAGUGGGCGAGGGGCGCAGCGGGAGCUCCCUUCUCCAGGGAGAACAGGAGGCGGAACUCAGAGGGAGAGGACCACCACGCCCAGGCCCCGAGAGGGAGGUGGGGGGCCACCAAGAGGAAAACCUGAGGUGCUAGCUGACGUGCGUGGAGGGCGGGAGAGAACCGCUAGGCCCCAAGUGGGCCCGAAAGGGCCAAAACCGGCGCAGGGUGCGAGGGUUGUGGGGGCUUGUCCUGGCGGGGCCAGGGCAACUGUCUCCUAGGAGAAGGGGCGUUCCCGGCUGAAUCGACUCUCCAUGAGGACCAAUAGUAUUUGAAGGAAGGAAAGCGGAAGCAACCGGGGGGAAAGGGGGCGCUCAGCCACGAGUGGGUGCCCCCGAUAGCGGAGGGAAAAUCCUCCCGGUUGCAGCAGCGGCUGCUGGGAUCUAGUCUCCAGGUUGGAGCGGAUUAAACGCCCGGUUGUGCGCGGAGCGGACCUCGGGCGGGUGAACCCGCUCCAGCAGGGUCGGGGCCCCGGAGGCGGCCCCCAGCGGACAGCGCUGCGCACGAAGAUCGGGCAAAUAACUGACAGGACGAGGCCCCCGGAGAGGGAAGGGCAGACCAGGCGACGCCCACAGGCAGGCAGGAGGGCGGGGGGCCAGUCUCCGUCGGCGGAGAACAGGGACCACUACCCACCGGCGGGGAGCUGGGGACUAGUGUAAGCCCAUAGAGAGAGGGGCGAGGCCCCGCCGGAGGGCAGCAGAGGGGCGAGCCGAGCCCCGCCGGUCUCCAGGAAACUAGGCACAGAACGAGUUAGUGGCCGGAGCUGCGCCCUGUUUCUGGGAAUCCAGCCCUGUCUCUACCCUGCUGUUGGUACGGAGAUGGAAACGGCCUCUGCUCACCACUCAGCCUCUCCCCUUCGCCUGUGUAUCUGUCCAUACAGGAGGAAGGGUGUGAUCUCCCCGCGCUCCUCACCGCCAUCCUGCACACGGAAUGCACCUGUGUGUACAGACCUACUCGAAUGAGGCGCGCUCAGAGCCGCCAUCUUCUCAACUAUGCUUCACUGUCAGCCAAUCAAGAAGGAGAUGUCACGUGACUCACAGAGGUUCGCUGGAUUCCUGGAGAUUUGAACUUCCUCUGCCCCUACCUGGCUUCCAUUUCCUUGACAGACCCAUUUCCUUGACCUUCCCCGCCCCUGUCACCUCAGCCAUGCACUGCCAGGCUCACACAACUGGUCCACCUUGAGAUUUUAAGUUCCGACCCCCCACUCUCCAAACAGAACCUGCUUCUCUCUUGCUCUCACAGUCUAAUGCCUACUAUAUCCAUUUUUUUCAGUGUUAGGGAGCGUUUCACUCCCUUCGGCCCGUUCAUCUUCUCCCUGUUGACCAUGCGAUGGAUCCCCAAUCCCUGUGACCCAACCAUCUGAGAC